GGGGGUGUAGUUCAGCGGGAGAACGCCUGCUUUGCAAGCAGGAGGUCGAGGGUUCAAGUCCCUCCACCUCCACCA
rnacentral:tRNA from 1 species